GUGGGGAGCUAUUUCUGGGCCCCGUGCGCCCUCCUCUCGCGCUUCCUCAGACCUGUCCUCUUUGGAGAUCUUGCCCCCACCCCCAGGAAUGCGGAUGGGGAGAGAGAAUCACGGUCCUGGAAUGAGGGGUGAGGGGUCCGGAACCCCAGGUGGAAGGUGUUGCUACACUGGGGGUCAGCUUUGGGACAUCCAGGGUCAGGGUGCCGUGGGAAUGACAAGUGGUCUGAUUGGGGACAGGGACUUGGAGGAGGCCAGUCUGGUGGAGAGUGAAGUGCUAGGAGGAGGGGCCGCAAGGACGGACUCCGGCUGAUCCUGACAAGGGCCACGGAAGGCAUUGUGCCGGGGGCGGGACUCUGGGCCUGCACCCCAGGGGCCUGGUGCGGGUGGGAGGAGCUGUGGGCCAGGAGGGAGGAGCUUACCCCGCCUGCCAGCUGGUAAGAGGCAGAGCGCUGAGGCCCAGACUCAGGGUCUAAGGACUCAGCCAGGAUUGGCUGGGUGCUCCCACUGACCCAGUCAGAUCAGCCUCGUCUCCAGGUCUCCAACUCCAUGACCUGUUCAGCACCUCUGCGGCUGACCAGCCCUGACCCAAGCCUCCACCUCCUCAUUUUGUCACAAGAUCUUCUAUAGCUGCUCCCCAACAAUACACUGAGACCCUCUCUCCCCCAGCCCACCCUCUCCUGCCCUGGCUCCCUCCUUGGGCCACAGCCUCUAGCUCCCUGGGUGGCCCUGAGCCCACAUCACUCCACCCCUGACAACCAUCUGCAGCCCUACCUGCAAUUGGGCCAUACCUCCCCAGGUUGCCCCUCCUCUCUGGACCUUGCCAUGCCCUCUCCCACCUUCCCAUCUGGGGCAGGGAGGCCCUUGGGCUCAUCCUGGCUCCCACCACCCCAGCUCAGCCCUCAGACACCCUUACCCCACACCCUCUCUCUGCCUUCACUUCCCCUCUCCCCUCAUUUCUUCUCAGCUCUGCUCAGGCCCUGACUCCUCCUUGGCUUCACAGCACCCAGCAGCUGAGAUCCUCACCAUGGCCAGCCCUGGGAAGCCUGGGACUGGGGAGGCCCAGGAGGAGGAGGGAGAGGAGGAGGGCUGUGCCCUAGGGCCACUGGUGGCGAUGCAGGAGCAGGCUCAGGAGCUGUUUCUGCUGUGUGACAAGGAGGCCAAGGGCUUCAUCACCCGGCAUGACCUGCAGAGCCUGCAGAGCGACCUGCCCCUCACACCUGAACAGCUUGAGGCUGUGUUUGAAAGUCUGGACCAGGCCCACACAGGCUUCCUCACCGCUCGGGAGUUCUGCCUUGGCCUGGGAAAGUUCGUGGGGGUGGAGUUGGCCCAGGGCACUCUGCCCUCCCGGGUUCCAGAGGAGACCUUCGAGUCAGGCUGGUCGGAUGUGCAAGGCACCAGGGGCUCCCUGGAGGAGGACGAUGAGGAGGAGAGAUUCUGUGCUGCGCUGGAGCAACUGGGGGUGGCCCGGGUCCUGGGCGAGCAGCAGGCAAUUAGGAUUCUCUGGACCCGGCUGCAGCGUGAGCGACCAGAACUGCUAGGCUCCUUGGAGGACGUUCUGCUGCGCACAUCAGCCUGCCUGGAGGAGGCAGCCCGAGAGCGGGACAGCCUGGAGAAGGCGCUGCGGCGGCGGGAGACCGAGCACGAGAGGGAGGUACGGUGUCUGUACGAGGAGAUGGAGCAGCAGCUUCGGGAGCAGCGACAGCGCCUGCGGAGUCAGGACCUCCCCCGCGAGGAGCGGAGAGGCCGCCUAGAGCAGGAGCUGCAGAACCGCGAGCAGGAGCUGGAACGCGCGGGGCUGCGGCUGCAGGAGCUGGAACAGCAGCUGCAGACCCGGGCCACGGAGCAGCUGGAGGUGCAGGCACAGAACGCCCAGCUGUGGCUGGCUAACGAGGCGCUGCGGACACAGCUGGAGGGGGCACAAGAGCAGCUCCGCAGACUGGAGGGCGACGUGCAGGGCCGCCGGGAGCAAACCCAACGAGAUGUGGUCGCCGUCUCAAGGAACAUGCAGAAAGAGAAGCUCAGCCUCCUGCGGCAACUGGAACUCCUCAGGCCGUCCUCCAAACUACGCCCAGAGGACUCCUCUCUGCAUCUGACCAUACCUCCAGACCCUCCCCUCAUCUGCUCUGCCGACCCCUGCAGACUCCGGGUCUUGGACACAGCCCAGGGCCUCGCUGGCCUGACCGCCUUCCCCCCCGCCCCUUCCCGCCACAAGCGCAGCUCCCCCCGAGGGGGCUGGCCCUGGCUGGGCUGUGGGCACCCCCGGGCUGCAACUCUCCCGGCCUCGGCAGCCUCGGGUGGACCCCAGCGCCUGCACAAGGCGGUGUCCCACCGGCUUGAGCGCGCGCGCGCGCGCGCGUCGAGCUUUGCUCAGACCUGCCGGGCGUCGGCGGCCGUGGGCGGGGCCUGCGGGGCUGGGGCGGGGCCCUGGGCGUCCCGGCGCGUCUCGCUCGCAGCCUCGCGGCCGGCCGCGCAUUCUCCGCGCUCGGAGCCGCCGCCGCCGACGGCCCGACUCCAACGCGUGGCUGGCAGGCCCUGCCCCACCUCCCUGCCGCUAGGAUGGGUGAGUUCAGCGAGAAGACCAUGACGUGCGGCACUGUCUGCCUCAAAUACCUGCUCUUCACCUUCAACUGCUGCUUCUGGCUGGCUGGUCUGGCCGUGAUGGCAGUGGGUGUCUGGACGCUGGCCCUCAAGAGCGACUACAUCAGCUUGCUGGCCUCGGGGACGUACCUGGCCACAGCCUACAUCCUGGUGGUGGCGGGUGUUGUCGUCAUGGUGACCGGUGUUCUGGGCUGCUGCGCCACCUUCAAGGAGCGGAGGAACCUGCUGCGUCUGUAUUUCAUCCUGCUCUUCAUCAUCUUCCUGCUGGAGAUCAUUGCUGGAGUCCUGGCCUAUGUCUACUACCAGCAGCUGAACGCAGAACUCAAGGAGAACCUGAAGGACACCAUGACCAAGCGGUACCACCAGGAGGGCCAUGAGGGCGUAACCAGCGCUGUGGACAAGCUGCAGCAGGAGUUUCACUGCUGUGGCAGCAACCACUCGCAGGACUGGCGGGACAGUGAGUGGAUCCGUUCAGGCAAGGCAGGCGGCCGCGUGGUCCCUGACAGCUGCUGCAAGACGGUGGUGGCCGGCUGCGGGCGGCGGGACCAUGCCUCCAACAUCUAUAAGGUGGAGGGCGGCUGCAUCACCAAGCUGGAGACCUUCAUCCAGGAGCACCUGAGGAUCAUCGGAGCCGUGGGCAUCGGCAUCG